UAGCUCAGUUGGUAGAGCACGACCUUGCCAAGGUCGGGGUCGCGAGUUCGAGUCUCGA
rnacentral:tRNA from 1 species